CUUGGGUCCUCUUCCUCCUGAGGCUGACAUUACAAGAGAACUGCAGACCAGCCCUGCGUUACCUGCCUCCUUGUCCACAUCUGAGGUGGAGGCACCUCGAUGAGCAUCGAUGCCAGGCCAGCAGGCACCCACAGGGGGACCAUCUCCUGGCUCCCUGGGACACUCACACCUCAGAAGCAAAGAGACUAAUGCUGCCUGAGCAGGGGAAGAGGAAAAUGUCUGUGACGGGUUGCUCUUGAGAACUCCAAGACCCAGGAAUAAAUGUGGAGCAGAGGAAAUUUUCAGGGAACUGGAGUUUCCAAAAUGUUGAGUGUGGUUCAGUGGGCUACACGUACAAGUAAUGGUGUUUGACAUGGGAGUUCCUUCCAUAUGUGAAGAGAACAGGUAUUUAUGUACAUAUAUGGCUAUGCUUAUAAUUUAAGGGGUCAGGAUGGGGUAGAAAAAAGAGUUUCUGAAAGGAAAAUUGACCAGAGAUAAAUAGCCCCAAAGGGCAGCAGCACACUGGGUGACAACUACUGGUAGAAAUUCAACAUCUAAAACAUUUUCUGAGGUUAUAGCAUUGCUUCUCUUGACAACUUUUCAGUGAAGCUUACUUUCCACCUGGCUUCGUGCAUUUAGCUGGGUGAACUUGAACAACCAAAGUGACAAAUCCAGAACUCAUAGCUUUGGGCUGAUGUUCUCUUCAGUUCCACAGAGAUGCCUGCUGCCGAAAUCCUAGCCUGGAGGUUAUGCUGGCUUACCGUGGCCCAGUGCAACUGAGAAAAAACGGGGCUGGUGUGCAUGGGGAAAAGUCUUGAGGAGCCUUGUAAAUCCUGUCACAUACUAUCAGAGGACUUUGGGAGAAAUUACAUGAUGUCAUGAAGAGGAAGAAGAGCUAGACAAGCAAUUUGAAAGUAGCUUGGAUAUCUAAGAGGAAGAAAGGUAGCACUUAGAGACAGCUCUGAUAAAACUUCCUCCACAGUUACAUUUUCUUCAGAACUACUGGGAACACAUUGUAGAUAUUUUUAAAAUAAAAUUUAAGUAGGAAUAGAUGAAAUAAGAGAAUACUAGUUUUGAGCUAUCCUGAAAAAACUUGUCCAUGGGGAUGGGCUAACAGGAUGGUAGUGAAAAGGAUUUGAAGAUAAAUUUUAAAUGUGAAGCUCCUUAAUUUGACAAUAAUAUUAAAAAGCCGUGGUAAAAAGAAGGGGCA
rnacentral:lncRNA from 1 species